ACCCCUGUGAUUAUACCUUUAAUUGUUGCUUCGGCGGGACUUCGCGCCCGCCGGGGACCCAAACCUUCUGAAUUUUUUAAUAAGUAUCUUCUGAGUGGUUUAAAAAAAAAAUGAAUCAAAACUUUCAACAACGGAUCUCUUGGUUCUGGCAUCGAUGAAGAACGCAGCGAAAUGCGAUAAGUAAUGUGAAUUGCAGAAUUCAGUGAAUCAUCGAAUCUUUGAACGCACAUUGCGCCCGUCAGUAUUCUGGCGGGCAUGCCUGUUCGAGCGUCAUUACGCCCCUCAAGUCCCCUGUGGACUUGGUGUUGGGGAUCGGCGAGGCUGGUUUUCCAGCACAGCCGUCCCUUAAAUUAAUUGGCGGUCUCGCCGUGGCCCUCCUCUGCGCAGUAGUAAAGCACUCGCAACAGGAGCCCGGCGCGGUCCACUGCCGUAAAACCCCCCAACUUUUUAUAGUUGACCUCGAAUCAGGUAGGACUACCCGCUGAACUUAAGCAUAUCAAUAAGCGGAGGA
rnacentral:rRNA from 1 species